AUGUGUGGAAAAGAAGCUACAGGAUUGUCAACAACAACAACAAAAAAAGUCAAGGAAAUUGGAUUACUCUUUUUCUCAACUACUAAGGUUAUAAUGGCACACAAAAUGAGCAUUCCACUGCAGUUUCGAUACAGUGGAAAGCAACCAACAGAAAGUUUAAUUUUAACCAACAAUCCAAAGCCAGCAGGUCCAGUGUGAGACAUGCACUAAAGCGAUCCCUCCAUCAUAGCCCAUCAUCCUUCGCAUCCCAAAGGUCUUCUUCUCCAACAAUAGAUGAAAAAAAGUAAAAACACUGCCAUACGCACACCUUCUUUUGUCUAUUACGCAAGAUGGCAUAACUCUGCUUCUGAACUCAUAGCAGCUCUCUGAAGCCUUUUCCUGGAAAACACCAAACCAUACAACACCUUUCCUCCCUGUCGUGACACCCCUUCACAAUGCAGGGGGGAUGGCAGCUCCGGACCCUCAGGAUGGGACCUAACCGUUUUCAACACUUCCUCCAGGCUGGUCCUCAGAAGGCGCUUUGCGUGUUUUAAGAGCGGGACGGGGAGGUGGGUGAAUAUGAAAACAAACGGACCUGCUCGGCCACUUUGAUCUUCACUUCCUGUCCAUUAUUUACGUCUGUUUCUCACGAACCUUUUUUUUCUUUCUCUUUUACUUGAUUGCCUCUCGCUUCCCUCACAUUUGGCCUGACAAAGACAAUACAUUGCACUUUAAAUAUUUCUGUCAGGAAGGAAUAAAACUCGUGUUUUCAUUGGUGGUGUGCCA
rnacentral:lncRNA from 1 species